UUCAGCGCAAACAACUCCUUUUAUAACCUGUUUGAAGAGUUUUUUUAUAUCUCCUUAUUACUCAAGUAAUUAAUUUUCAACAAUGAAUGUGAGAGGACACUGCAUUAACACAGCAGAAUAUCAAGAGAUAAUGGUGGGAGAAAAUCUGUAUCCCUGAAAAAAUUUCUUAUUGGUGGCUGAAUGUCAGUGUUACUAAGUGAUGCUGGUUCCUGAGCUUCCAUUUUCAAGACCCCACCAUGAAUGCUUUGCAGCAAAGAUGUGCCAAGGCUUGCAUUUGACUCUGUAGUGCUCAAAGGCUUCAAGUUCUCAUUAUCACUAUGGCAACUAUUAAUCAUUCAUUUGUUGUACCAUAAUAAAUACAUGCCCUCAACUAGAAAGCAUGUU